UAGAGUGACAGCUCUGAACUCCUACUCUCGUCGCCCUUUGUCAAAAGAGCAGAAAGGGUGAGACACUGACCAAAGAGUGGAAUGGAGGCAAUUACCUACCACCAGAGAGACACCAAGUAAUGGGCCUGACAAAGAGGUAGGAGAUAAAGCUGUCUUCUCUACACUGAUGCAAGGAACAUUCUUAUCACCAGAGACGGGGACCAGAGAGUGCUGUGCCAACCAUUUCAUUACAGAUGCUUCAACCCCUUCAACAAGAACCCGGGUGGGGUGGAGGGUAGUAGUGAAGAAGAGCAAAAGAGCCCCUUCUCGGAGACCCUGCUUAGAGGGGAGGUGUUUCUGUGACACUGGGAAGCAGCCACAAAUGGAG